GACGAACGCUGGCGGCGUGCUUAACACAUGCAAGUCGAGCGGUAAGGCCCUUUCGGGGGUACACGAGCGGCGAACGGGUGAGUAACACGUGGGUGACCUGCCCUCAGCUCUGGGAUAAGCCUGGGAAACUGGGUCUAAUACCGGAUAUGACUCCGCGGUGCAUGCUGUGGGGUGGAAAGCCUUGUGCGGCUGGAGAUGGGCCCGCGGCCUAUCAGCUUGUUGGUGGGGUGANGGCCUACCAAGGCGACGACGGGUAGCCGGCCUGAGAGGGCGACCGGCCACACUGGGACUGAGACACGGCCCAGACUCCUACGGGAGGCAGCAGUGGGGAAUCUUGCGCAAUGGGCGAAAGCCUGACGCAGCGACGCCGCGUGAGGGAUGACGGCUCGGUUGUAAC
rnacentral:rRNA from 1 species